rnacentral:rRNA from 1 species
AUAUUAUUAAGCGGAGGAAAAGAAACUAACAAGGAUUCCCUUAGUAACGGCGAGUGAACAGGGAAGAGCUCAACCUGAGAAUCGGUGUGCUUAACGGUACAUCGAAUUGUGGGGUUGGGACGCUUUCUCAGCGUGUGACCUGGGUAUAAGUCCUUUGGAAAAAGGCAUCAUAGAGGGUGAGAAUCCCGUCUUUGACCCGGUGUUUGCCGCGUACGAGAGGCGUUCUUAGAGUCGAAUAGCUUGGGAAUGCUGUUCUAAGCAGGAGGUAAAUUCCUUCUAAAGCUAAAUAUUGAUGAGAGACCGAUAGCGCACAAGUA